rnacentral:rRNA from 1 species
AGUCGAGCGAGCUUCCUAGAUGAUUUUAGUGCUUGCACUAAAUGAAACUAGAUACAAGCGAGCGGCGGACGGGUGAGUAACACGUGGGUAACCUGCCCAAGAGACUGGGAUAACACCUGGAAACAGAUGCUAAUACCGGAUAACAACACUAGACGCAUGUCUAGAGUUUGAAAGAUGGUUCUGCUAUCACUCUAGGAUGGACCUGCGGUGCAUUAGCUAGUUGGUAAGGUAACGGCUUACCAAGGCAAUGAUGCAUAGCCGAGUUGAGAGACUGAUCGGCCACAUUGGGACUGAGACACGGCCCAAACUCCUACGGGAGGCAGCAGUAGGGAAUCUUCCACAAUGGACGAAAGUCUGAUGGAGCAACGCCGCGUGAGUGAAGAAGGGUUUCGGCUCGUAAAGCUCUGUUGGUAGUGAAGAAAGAUAGAGGUAGUAACUGGCCUUUAUUUGACGGUAAUUACUUAGAAAGUCACGGCUAACUACGUGCCAGCAGCCGCGGUAAUACGUAGGUGGCAAGCGUUGUCCGGAUUUAUUGGGCGUAAAGCGAGUGCAGGCGGUUCAAUAAGUCUGAUGUGAAAGCCUUCGGCUCAACCGGAGAAUUGCAUCAGAAACUGUUGAACUUGAGUGCAGAAGAGGAGAGUGGAACUCCAUGUGUAGCGGUGGAAUGCGUAGAUAUAUGGAAGAACACCAGUGGCGAAGGCGGCUCUCUGGUCUGCAACUGACGCUGAAGCUCGAAAGCAUGGGUAGCGAA